UACGUAGGGGGCAAGCGUUGUCCGGAAUCAUUGGGCGUAAAGCGCGUGUAGGCGGCUCGAUAAGUCUGCUGUGAAAGUUCAGGGCUCAACCCUGAAAUGCCGGUGGAAACUGUCGGGCUAGAGUCCGGAAGAGGCGAGUGGAAUUCCUGGUGUAGCGGUGAAAUGCGCAGAUAUCAGGAGGAACACCAAUGGCGAAGGCAGCUCGCUGGGACGUGACUGACGCUGAGACGCGAAAGCGUGGGGAGCAAACAGG
rnacentral:rRNA from 1 species